rnacentral:rRNA from 1 species
CCUACGGGAGGCAGCAGUGAGGAAUAUUGGUCAAUGGACGCAAGUCUGAACCAGCCAUGCCGCGUGCAGGAAGACGGCUCUAUGAGUUGUAAACUGCUUUUGUACGAGGGUAAACGCAGAUACGCGUAUCUGUCUGAAAGUAUCGUACUAAUAAGGAUCGGCUAACUCCGUGCCAGCAGCCGCGGUAAUACGGAGGAUUCAAGCGUUAUCCGGAUUUAUUGGGUUUAAAGGGUGCGUAGGCGGUCGGAUAAGUUAGAAGUGAAAUCCCGAGGCUCAACUUCGGCAUUGCCUCUGAUACUGUUAGGCUAGAGAGUAGUUGCGGUAGGCGGAAUGUAUGGUGUAGCGGUGAAAUGCUUAGAGAUCAUACAGAACACCGAUUGCGAAGGCAGCUUACCAAGCUACUUCUGACGUUGAGGCACGAAAGCGUGGGGAGCAAACAGGAUUAGAUACCCGGGUAGUC